UACGUAGGGGGCAAGCGUUGUCCGGAUUUAUUGGGCGUAAAGAGCGUGUAGGCGGCCCGGUAAGUCCGCUGUAAAAGUCAAAGGCUCAACCUUUGAAUGUCAGUGGAUACUGCCGGGCUAGAGUCCGGAAGAGGCGAGUGGAACUCCUGGUGUAGCGGUGGAAUGCGCAGAUAUCAGGAAGAACACCAACGGCGAAGGCAGCUCGCUGGGACGGUACUGACGCUGAGGAGCGAAAGCAUGGGGAGCGAUCCGG
rnacentral:rRNA from 1 species